rnacentral:rRNA from 1 species
UGGGGAAUUUUGCGCAAUGGGCGAAAGCCUGACGCAGCAAUACCGCGUGAGUGAUGAAGGCUCUUGGGUCGUAAAGCUCUGUCAGAGGGGAAGAACCUCCUGUCGUUUAAUACGCGGCAGGCCUGACGGUACCCUCAGAGGAAGCACCGGCUAACUCCGUGCCAGCAGCCGCGGUAAUACGGAGGGUGCAAACGUUGUUCGGAAUUAUUGGGCGUAAAGAGCAUGUAGGCGGUCUGUCAAGUCUGAUGUGAAAGCCCGGGGCUCAACCCCGGAAGUGCAUUGGAAACUGGCAGACUUGAGUACGGGAGAGGAAAGUGGAAUUUCGAGUGUAGGGGUGAAAUCCGUAGAUAUUCGAAGGAACACCAGUGGCGAAGGCGGCUUUCUGGACCGAUACUGACGCUGAGAUGCGAAAGCGUGGGGAGCAAACA